rnacentral:tRNA from 1 species
AGGAUAAUAGUUAAAUAUAACAUUUGUAUUGCUAACAAAAAGUAUUGAUUAAUCAAUUUAUCUUA